rnacentral:rRNA from 1 species
AGCGAACGCUGGCGGCAGGCUUAACACAUGCAAGUCGAGCGGGCAUCUUCGGAUGUCAGCGGCAGACGGGUGAGUAACACGUGGGAACGUACCCUUCGGUUCGGAACAACUCUGGGAAACUGGAGCUAAUACCGGAUACGCCCUUAUGGGGAAAGGUUUACUGCCGAAGGAUCGGCCGCGUCUGAUUAGCUAGUUGGGGGGGGAACGGCCUACCAAGGCGACGAUCAGUAGCUGGUCUGAGAGGAUGAUCAGCCACACUGGGACUGAGACACGGCCCAGACUCCUACGGGAGGCAGCAGUGGGGAAUAUUGGACAAUGGGCGCAAGCCUGAUCCAGCCAUGCCGCGUGAGUGAUGAAGGCCUUAGGGUUGUAAAGCUCUUUUGUCCGGGACGAUAAUGACGGUACCGGAAGAAUAAGCCCCGGCUAACUUCGUG